GAUGAACGCUGGCGGCGUGCCUAAUACAUGCAAGUCGAGCGAACAGACGAGGAGCUUGCUCCUUCGACGUUAGCGGCGGACGGGUGAGUAACACGUAGGUAACCUACCUAUAAGACUGGGAUAACUUCGGGAAACCGGAGCUAAUACCGGAUAAUAUUUCGAACCGCAUGGUUCGAUAGUGAAAGAUGGCUUUGCUAUCACUUAUAGAUGGACCUGCGCCGUAUUAGCUAGUUGGUAAGGUAACGGCUUACCAAGGCAACGAUACGUAGCCGACCUGAGAGGGUGAUCGGCCACACUGGAACUGAGACACGGUCCAGACUCCUACGGGAGGCAGCAGUAGGGAAUCUUCCGCAAUGGGCGAAAGCCUGACGGAGCAACGCCGCGUGAGUGAUGAAGGUCUUCGGAUCGUAAAACUCUGUUAUUAGGGAAGAACAAACGUGUGAGUAACUGUUCACGUCUUGACGGUACCUAAUCAGAAAGCCACGGCUAACUACGUG
rnacentral:rRNA from 1 species